GGUUUGAGUUCAUGGGCCUGCAUUGUCUGGCCUUUGAAAUGCUCCACAUAGACCUGUUUAUAUUUAUGGUCAAGCAUAACUGUGAGCCCCUCGAGCUGAAGGAGAUCUGACCUAUUGCUCACCAGUUGUUGGUGCUUUAGAUGCUCUUGAAGGGCUCGUCCAUACAGACAUCAAACCAGACAACAUGAUGUUUACCAACGUGAAGGACGAGCCGCUAAGAGUCAAGCUCAUUGACUUUGGAGAGGCCAAGAGAACCUCCCAAGUCAAGUGAGGGGCUCUCAUCCAGCCGUAUGGAUACAGGGCUCCUGAGAUCACACUUGGUCUCCCAUACACCGAGGUCAUAGACGUGUGGGGGGUCGGCUGUGUUCUGGCCUUCCUUUUUCUUGUUACAUGUUCUUAUAACAUGUUCCUGGUACAUUGUGAGUACCGAGUGUUAGAGCGCAUCAUGUACAUACUGGGACUAACCCCAGAACACAUGCUGCAGACUGGACUCUACACCAGGAAGUUUUUCACCAAAAAUCAGCACCCUGAAGGCACAGCAUAGAGACUUCUGACUCCAGAAGAAUAUUCUACAAAAAUCAAGACCAUCACUCUGGAGAAGCCCGUGUUCUCUGAUGUCCCCAUCUGUUCAAACGGCCUUCUCGACAUAAGUGUUUACCACUGAUCAACACUCACCCCACUCACAUGAUGC